AUAGCAACAGCAGCGUAGCUGAACAUCUUACGGAUGGCCCAGGGCUCCAAAGGCUCGUUUCCUAAGUGAGAGAGAGCCUGGCUGAAGCUGUAUUACCAUUCAUUCUCCAGCCUCCGAAGUCUCAAAGCAUCACUUCCACCAUACUCUAACUGUCAAGACAAACACAAAGGCCCAGAAACUGCCAGACUGUCUUCUGAAGUGGCUAUAAUAUUUACACUCCCAUCAGCAGUGUAGAAGGGGUCUCACUAUGUUGUCUGGAGUGCUGUGGUGGAGUGGAGUGGCUAUUCACAGAGCCUGUUCUGCUGGGACACAGAAUCACUUGCUCCAUCUCAUACAUUGAUGAUGAUUAAUUUGUAUGUGUACCUUCCAAAAAAGAUGGUUGUGUUUGAAUGGAGGCCUUCUGGACAGGAAAAUAAUCACAUCCUUCCUGAGAUAAUGAGCACACAAUUGCCUGGAUACCUGAAGGAAUGGAGACAGCGGCAGAAAACACUGCAGAGAGGUGGAAACAUCCGUUAAUAUUUUAAAAUCCCAUUACUGCUACCAACAAUAAUAAUGGAUGCAUAGAAAUAGAUCUGGAUUAGCUGAGCUUGAAACAGUCCAUCUCACACACACACAAAAGAAUUUCAGGUAAUGAAGAAAAGAAAAGGAAA
rnacentral:lncRNA from 1 species